GGAGGGAAAGUUAGAGAAAAAAGGGUAGAUCUGAUAAGCUGUGUAGCUGAGCUGAUCGCUGCUCUGGUCAUGAAAGUGUUUGAUCUCUGAUCGGCCAUCAAAUACUUUGCUGUGAGUGAAACUUCUGGCAGGCCAUUCCUAGGAGAACUCUUGCAGAUUGAAGAUCUUUGGUUGCAGACUCUCAUCACUUCAGCAGGAUAUCAACUUUUCAUCUCCCACCGUUCAGAGGACAAGUCCCAUUCAUGGAAUGAGCCAAGCAGGACAUAGAUAAUCUACUGCACUCUAACAGAAGAAAGAAAGUCAAAUGGGUUUGGAACAACAUGAGGGUGAAGAAAUACAACAGAAUUAUCAUUUUUGGGUGAACUAUCCUUUUAAAGCCACAACCAGAGGACGUCGACGUUCAGGCAUCCUGUGACGGGACAGAUCUCUUCAGAAAACACUGACUUCAUCUUACAGGACCCGAUAUAUUCACGCAUGUCUAAACCACCACUAGAGCCGAGGCCUCCCAGCAUGGUCAGCGAGUCAUCUGUCGCCAUCUCCUCUUCCCCCGCUGACACCGCAUCAGGAUCCAGGAGUUUAAAAACCAGUGGGAAGGUGCAUUGCUUUGGCAAGCGUGACCAUUCCAUCAAAAGGAACCCCAAUGUCCCAGUGGUGGUGAGAGGAUGGCUCUACAAACAGGACAGCUCGGGCAUGAGAUUGUGGAAGCGCAAGUGGUUUGUGUUGUCUGAUUACUGCCUUUUUUAUUAUAAAGACAGUCGAGAAGAAACGGCUCUGGGCAGCAUUCCUCUGCCCAGCUAUGUCAUUUCCCCCGUGGGACCCGAGGACCACAUCAGCCGCAAGUAUGCCUUUAAGGCAUGCCACACGGGAAUGCGCUCAUACAUUUACAAUAAGAAUUCUCUGAUUGGCUCGCAGGCCGAGCACUGUGGCAUGAGGACCUACUUCUUCAGCGCUGACACGCAGGAGGACAUGAAUGGCUGGAUCCGGGCAAUGAACCAGGCCGCACUGAUGCAGAGCCACGGCGUCAAGAGAGAGGCAGAAAGAGGCUUCAAACCUGAGCAGCAUUCAGUUCCUCAGACCAACCACUUCAGCAGCAGCUCCUCCCAGGCAGAGGGCCUCCAGCAGGCACCGCGAGGGGAGGUGGCAGAGCUUAGGCCGGAGAGAGAUGAGGAGGAGUGCUAUGUUUAUAGCAAGGAAGUCCUGGAGGAUCCUGUCCAAAGCAUCUCCCCUGGAGAGAUGGAGGGGCUGUCCCAGCCAUCUCGUCCACUGUCUACUGUGCCCGCUAACAGGAACGGGCUGCCCUCGUCGGGCAUGCCCCCUGAUCAGAACGGGAACGUGGUGUAUAAGAGGGGUCUCGUCCCCCGCACAGACACAGAGAAAAAGGUACAGAGGAAAACGGCACUGGCUCAGGUGGAACACUGGGUGAAGGUGCAGAAAGGAGAGCCCAAAAGCCAUCCCACUACUGAGUACACCCUUCCCAGACGGACCCCUCCUCUCCAGCCUAAAGCCACCAUGAUGGAUGCGUACCAGUCAUUGCCAAAGACCACUCGCCACCACUCCGGAGGGGGUUCACCCCCUGUUCCCCGCAACCUACCCAGUGACUACAAGUACGCCCAUGACCGUCUCAGUCACUUUCGAAUGUCCACUGACGAACGGGUGGCCACUAAAGAAGGGAUGGUUUGGCAGCUGUACGAGUGGCAGCAGCGUCAACAGUUCCGCCACGGAAGCCCCACAGCACCCAUCUACUCCGGGUCUGACUACAUGGACACGGCAGCCUUCAGGGUCACUCUGGAGAUGCCCAGGUCCAUAUCUGUGCCCCCAUCACCGUGUGAAAUACCCCCACCCGGACACCCCUCCAAAUCUCUGUCCCCUCGCAGGCCUCACACUCCCGCCGACAGGGUGACGGUGCGCCCGCUGGAUGAGUUUGCCACCAUAGACACACCCAGCUUGGGUUCUCCAAGAGGAGUGUGUUCCCAGAUCUCAAAGACGUCACAACUAGAGAGAAGAUCCAUGCCAACUAUGGGAUACAUCACACACACAGUCAGUGCACCGAGUCUGCAUGGAAAAACGCUGGAGGAGUUGACCCUGCUGCUCAUCCAGCUCAGGAGACACCAGGCCAAGAUGGCCAGCGUGCACAGCAAUGCAUUCACACACCUGCAGAACCAGCACAACGGCCUCUCAGGCCCCAGUUUGCAGGCAGAUGACACUUACAUGCAGCUGAAGAAGGACCUGGAGUAUCUCGACUUGAAGGUAACGGGACAUGACUCCCUUAAAGAUCGACGUCCUCGGCCUGUUAAAAUAGCUGAAAGUGACAUAGAUGUAAAGCUAAGUAGGUUAUGUGAGCAAGACAAGAUCCUUCAGGAGCUGGAGACAAGGAUACGGACACUCAAAGAAGACAAGGAUAAUCUGGAGUCAGUUCUGGAUGUUUCCCAUCAGCAGAUGGAGCAGUACCGAGACCAGCCGGCUCAUGCAGAGAAGAUCGCCUACCAGCAGAAACUUUUGCGGGAGGAUGUAGUGCACAUAAGGGCAGACAUUUCACAGGUGUCUACGGAGAUGGAGAACGCUUGGGCAGAGUACAGCCAUUUGGAGAGAGAUGUGAAUGGACUGCAAUCAGCCCUACAAGACCAGAUGACCCACAGUGUUCUCUCUCAGCAGGAGAAGUGUCAGCUGAGGAAGGAGCUGUGGAGGAUCGAGGAUGUGCUGGCAGGCCUGAGCUCCAGCAAAGCAAACUACAAAGUGACCAUUGACUCUGUGCGGAACCCAGGUGAGAGCGGGCCCCUGCCUGCCAUCACCCCCAUGCACUGGAACUCAGAGCAAGAGAGGAAACUCGUGCCUUCGGCGUCAUUGUCCACAGUGCCUUCUCUCUCUGCAAGCCCUUCCAUGGGAGAGCUAAAAGCUGCCCAUCGCAGUCCCCUGCAGCUCUCACAAACACUUCACAAGCCAAAAUGGCCUGGGGAAGAUGUGCCACCAAGACCCCCGCUCCCGCAGCUCUACAGCCCUGACGAACACCCCUCUGCUGUGCCCCCUCUUCCCAAAGAAACCUCAGUCGUCCGCCACACUUCAGUCCGUGGCCUGAAACGACAGUCCGAUGAGCGGAAGCGCGAUCGUGAGAUUGGGCAGUACACAAACGGAGAUCAAAAGGUUGAGAUACGUGCAUUUCUCAGUGAGCCUGAGCUGCUGCGAGUUGGUGGACAAAUGGGGGGCUUGAGCCGUGACAUUGGCUACCAAACCCUUCCAAACAGAGGUUUGGCAGCCUCAUCUUCAAGACUAAAUCAGUCAACAAAUAUUUCAUCGUUUGUCACCCUCAGAAGAGGAGUCACCACCACAAGCUUGAAGGAGAGACCAAAGAGUGCCUUGGAGCAACUAUACUCUGGGGAGCCCGUGCAGCAGCGUGGACGCAUGAGUGCAGAAGAGCAGCUGGAGAGGAUGAAACGUCACCAAAAGGCUCUUGUACGAGAGCGGAAGAGGACGCUCAGCCAAGGCGAGCGACAGGCCUCCUCAUCUCGCGCCUCCUCUGCCUCCAGACCCGUGUCUGCAGACCUGGGAUCAUGGAGGAGAGAGCAGGAUUUUGAUAUGCAGCUCCUGGAACGAGCAGUGCAGGGUGAGGAGAAACCAGCUGAGCACACAGAGAGACAGCGCUCUCACUCCGAUGAAUGGCUUACCCUGAAGAGCAAACCAAGAGAGUUGGACCUAGAGACUCUGGACUACCAGUUGGACCUCAGCAAAGAGCUGUCUAAGCCACAGAAGGUGGCUAUCCCUGAGCGCUAUGUAGAUCUGGAGCCAGAGGAGCCCCUCAGCCCUCAGGAGAUGGAGGCCCGUCAACGCAAAGUGGAGCGUAUCAAAAGCAUUCUGGCCAAGUCUAGUGUCCAGAAUAUGCCGCCUCCAGCAGCAGUAGAUAAACCAGUGCUCUCAGACAUAGACUCAGCUCUACAGGAGCAGGAGAGGAUCAUCACCAUGUCUUAUGCCUUGGCAUCAGAGGCCUCACUCAAGAGCAAACAAGUGGCAGCCUCACCGCAGAUUAAUAGUCCCACCUCGCUCCCUCAACCUCCACCUCCUCCACCUCUUCCUCCCCCCACUUCUGUUGCCGUCUCUACGGCUCAGUCUACCCCCCCUCCCCUGAGCAAUGGAUUUCACUACACCUUUGUCUAAUCAGAGUAAAACAAUGUAAGGACUAACCACUAACCGUUUAGCACACUAAUGUACAUUUACUAAUUGUUCCCUGUGUGUUUUGACACUUUUUCCACCUGCGUGAUGCAUGAUUGUGCAUGAUUGAUGCUCUAGUAGAAACUUCAUGAGAAGGGUGGAGUGGCCCCCUCUGUCAAAUGCCUCCACAUCUGGAGAGGUGUUUGAAUUGUGUGCAAAUUGGCUUUUUGUGCAUUGCCAGCACCAAAAAGUCUAAAAACCCAUAAGCAAAUGCUGCCUUUUGUGAAUUGUGUGUAGUUAACAAAUAAUCGGGGCAUCACUGAGGCAGCACUUGGAAUUGUGUUGCCAAACAACACUUGCUUUGCCAUCUGUAAACUGCGAAGGGCUUCAGUGUUUUGAUGCCUGUGGCUCAUUAACAAUAAAUAACAGAACGAGCAGGUUCUGUUAAAAACAAACACAACCCUUUGACAUUUUCUCUCAUAGAAUUACAGUUCUAAUAACAAAAUUUCAGCAAACCAAAAAAAAGUAUCGCAGAAAUUUCCUGGUGAAAUAAAACACUAGAGCCACUACAUCAACAAAGACUUUUGUUCACUUUCACACAAAUCAUGAUAUACAUUUAGUUUUUGCCCUGUUCCUUACAAAAAGAAGAGCGGAUGAGUCGACAUGUUAGCCAAAAGUGUCGUUUUUCAUCCAAUGUUUUUGGUAGGGAGGCAGGUUUUGUUGAUAUAAAACUCAGUAGAGCAUUUAUCUUUAAAACCUUUUCUGUUUUGGAGAAAAUGUGACUCUCUUUUAGCACCACACAGUGGAUAUUUCACCUUGCAACUGCCAUAGUAGUGUAAGGAACCACAUAAUAUAAUCACUGCAGUCCCAUUAUUUUCAUGAGGUCAGUCUGCCAAUUUCAGUGCAGGGUACAGGGUUCCCACAGUUAGGGAUAAACCUAGAAAUAUCUGGGAAGCUUUACAGUUUUCGAGGCCUGGAAAGGACAGAGAAAUUUUAUGGUGAAUAUAAUGAAAAUUUUCAUGUUCUCAUGUAGAGGAUUUAUAAAGUAAAAUGUGCUCACAAGCCAUUAUGAGCAAUCAUUAUUUUUAAUCUGUUAUUUUCUGUGAAUCAGUCACACUGCUUCACAUAUCAGUCUGAAUAAUUCAUCACUGAAUCGUUCUGAAUCAAAAUAUUUUUUUUUAAUACUUAUCCAUUAAUCCAUGGAUAACUGGAAAGGUCAUGGAAGUUGAUUGGUCAAAAAAGGUGGGAACCCUGUCUCUAUGAAUUGAUGCUUGUACCAGUCACACUGCAGUAUGUUCCACCUUCACCUGCCAUGUGUAUUCUGCUUCCCAGCAUGCCCCAAAUCUACCCACUGCCACAUCUUUCCACUUCACCUUGUGCUUUUCAUCUGCUAUUAUAUGAUCUUGCUGCUAUAAGAAAGAUUUCUGUAAUUUAAUGCUUGUCCAUUUACAGUAUGACUGAGACUGAGCUGUCCAGUGCAUUUACAAUAUGUUUGCUCACUUGCUCACAACAUCCGUAUUCAUCUGAGCUACGUGAUGCAUGUGUCAUACAUGUUGAACUGUUUGGUGUGUUUUAAACUUAACCUCUUCCCUCUGUAACAUGCUGCACAGAGAGGAGAAGAGUUGAGAGAGUUUACCUGUCUACUAUUUAGUAAGCCAAAGCUGUGUCUGGAUAUUGAGGUGCUGUCACAUUGUGAAAACCCCACUAGCAGUGGAUGAGCUUACCGAUUCACAUCCCUCACAUUUAAAGAUUACAAUAGCGCACUUUUGAACUGACGUUGGAACUAUUUUCUGAAAUGCAUUUUUGUAGAGCUAUUAUGAAGUACUUAUUUGAUAUGGACAUUUUGCUGUGGAAACUGCUGUGCAUACACUACAAAAUCUAAUCAUGAUAACCCAGAUAUAGAGAGCCAUUUUAUAUAUGCUGUUGCACUUUUAAUAUGCACCGUAUUGUAGAGAACAUUAAAAGAUCAUCUUUAACUUCUCAACACAAGAUGGAUGUGGAAGGAACCAUGGUAAUGUAAUGUAAUGACAAAAGUAAAAGUAUUAUACAUGUGAUAUACAUGAAGGGCACAAAAAUGUCAAAUAUUGAUUGUAUUUUUGUCAAUUCAGAUGAUAUUCUUACACCAAAUCACUUGAAAUAUUAUUUUUAUGUAUCUAGCACUGCCAGUUUCCAGUUUGCUUGCCAAAUUCUUUUUAUUUUUGUUGAAAAAGUUGGGGAGAAAAUAAUACAAAAUAAUAUUUUCAGACAGGAUUUUUGGGGAAGAGGUGGGGGAGGAUUAUAUCACAUACUUUUUUUAAAGAAACUGUAAAUAUUAAAGAUAUUAACAAGCUGUUUGUCUUUCUGUUUCAGUAGAGAAAGAAUGAUGAAUAAGGUAUUUCUAAAAUGUUUUAAGAUAGAAGGUUUGGCAGUUUUACAUUUGCAUAGCUUUAAAAAAGCAGUCAUCAACUCCAGUCUCACAAAGGUAAUCAGAAAUGACAUGUUUUAUGAAUAUCUUUUGAUCUCACCUUGUGUUUUUUUCCCCCUUGGAAGCUAUUCAGUUAAGCUUAAUAAAGAGAAUAAAAGAUAAGAAAAUAAAGAGAGAACCUUAAUUUCAAAAUUCCUUUUGGCUUGCCUUGUGUGCUAUAAUAAUUGUAAUUUUUUUUAAAUAGAGUGGAGGUACAAAAGAUAAUGGCCAUAACUUUGCUCUCAUCAAUGCUACAAA